rfam:Nipponia nippon contig3102, whole genome shotgun sequence.
GCUGAAGUAGCUCAACUGGGAGAGUGUUAGACUGAUAAAUCUAAAGGACCCUGGUUCAAGUCUGGGUGUGAGCA